GAUGAACGCUGGCGGCGUGCCUAAUACAUGCAAGUCGAGCGAACAGACGCGGAGCUUGCUCCUCUGACGUUAGCGGCGGACGGGUGAGUAACACGUGGAUAACCUACCUAUAAGACUGGUAUAACUUCGGGACACCGGAUCUAAUACCGGAUAAUCUAUUGCACCGCAUGGUUCGUUAGUGAAAUACGGUUUUGCUGUCACUUAUCGAUGGAUCCGGGCCGCAUUAGCUAGUUGUUAAGUUAACGGCUUACCAAGGCAACGAUGCGUAGCCGACCGGUCAGAGUGAUCGCCCACACGAGAGCGGGGACAGGCUCCAUGGGCCUAAGGGACGCAGCAGUAGGGAACCUGCCGCAAUGGGCGAGAGCAUGACGGAGCAACGCGGCGUGAGUGACGAAGGUCUCGGGAGCGUAAAACUCGGUUACUAGUGAAGAACAAAUUUGGAAUGAGCUAAGGACGGCUUGACGGUACUUAAUCAGAAAGCCACGGCUAACUACGUG
rnacentral:rRNA from 1 species